rnacentral:rRNA from 1 species
AUACGUAGGGUGCGAGCGUUGUCCGGAAUUACUGGCCGUAAAGAGCUCGUAGGUGGUUUGUCGCGUCGUCUGUGAAAUUCCGGGGCUUAACUCCGGGCGUGCAGGCGAUACGGGCAUAACUUGAGUACUGUAGGGGAGACUGGAAUUCCUGGUGUAGCGGUGAAAUGCGCAGAUAUCAGGAGGAACACCGGUGGCGAAGGCGGGUCUCUGGGCAGUAACUGACGAGGAGGAGCGAAAGCAGGGGUGGCGAACAGGAUUAGAUACCCUGGUAGUCCAUGCCGAAAACGGGGGGCGCUAGGUGGAGGGGGCUGCCACGACUUCGGUGCCGUAGCUAACGCAUUAAGCGCCCCGCCUGGGGAGUACGGCCGCAAGGCUAAAACUCAAAGGAAUUGACGGGG